rnacentral:rRNA from 1 species
CAGCCGCCACUGGAAUACGGAGGGUGCAAGCGUUAAUCGGAAUUACUGGGCGUAAAGCGCACGCAGGCGGUCUGUCAAGUCAGAUGUGAAAUCCCCGGGCUUAACCUGGGAACUGCAUUUGAAACUGGCAGGCUAGAGUCUUGUAGAGGGGGGUAGAAUUCCAGGUGUAGCGGUGAAAUGCGUAGAGAUCUGGAGGAAUACCGGUGGCGAAGGCGGCCCCCUGGACAAAGACUGACGCUCAGGUGCGAAAGCGUGGGGAGCAAACAGGAUUAGAUACCCGGGUAGUCCCUGUCUCUUAUAC